GACCCCGCACAAGCGGCGGAGCAUGCGGCUUAAUUCGAUGAUACCCGUAGAACCUUACCUGGACUUGACAUAUAGGGUCAAGCUAUAGAGAUAUAGUGUGCAUUAGCGCCCUAUACAGGUGGUGCAUGGCUGUCGUCAGCUCGUGUCGUGAGAUGUUGGUUAAGUCCCGCAACGAGCGCAACCCCUGUCCUAUGUUGCCAGCAUUUAGUUGGGGACUCAUAGGAGACUGCCGGUGAUAAACCGGAGGAAGGUGUGGAUGACGUCAAGUCCUCAUGGCCCUUACGGGUUGGGCUACACACGUGCUACAAUGGUAGUGACAAUGGGUUAAUCCCAAAAAGCUAUCU
rnacentral:rRNA from 1 species